AGUUUAUUUCUAGGCUGAGUACAUGGCUAUACUUGGAUCUCCCUUUGCCUUUAUCUCUGGGAUUUCCUUUGCUCUUUCUUGGAUUGACGUUCUCAUUUCCCAGACUCCAUGUCUUCCUCUUUCUUGCUUUGCCUCAUAAUUUUGGACUUACCUAGUAGCUUCUUCUUCUUUUUUUUUUUUUUCCUUUUUCACAUCAGAUGGGAAAUGUGCCAACGUCACAACAAGGUUUGAGGGAGGCACAUCUCAUGCUCGGACAUGAACACCCGAUCAUCAUGCUUAUGAACUACAAAAGGAUCUCCAGUAUGGGCUCACGGCAGUUGGCCCUUGAAUAACAUGAAUUUGAACUGCCUGAGUCUGCUAAUAUGUGGAUUAUCUUCUGCUUCUGCACCCUGAGACAGCAAGACCAACCCUUCCUCUUGCUUCUUUUCCUUAGCCUAUUCAACGUGAAGAUGACUAAGGCAUGAAAAAACCCUGAAAAACUGAGCGUUUGCUUCUCAGCGACUCAGCUUGAAAGAGGCUGUUUUAAACUGGAAGAGGUUGAGAGGCCUUCAGUUGGUGAGUUUAUUAUUUUCCCUUGCUCCUCUGUGAAAUGAAGCUCAUGAAGAAGCGUAGGUCAGGUACAGAAUAUAAAAGAAUGACCUUUUCUUUUUCCUGGACAAUUUAAGUGCACUGUCAUCUCACAACCUCAAACUCUUUAAUAUGGUAAUGAGAGGCAAAAGGCAUUUUAAUUUGGAGCUAUGUCGCAGUUUUCCAGCAUGUGAAGAAAGCAUCCUCAGUUGCCAAAAGGUCACGUGUGGGAUUAGUUGCUAGGCUGUGGGAUUAUUUUUCUAGGCUUGCUGGGGAAAAGGGCAAAAGAGAAGAAGCAAACUAGCAGAGUCAUGUGGCGUUUCUGUCCUGGGACUUACGCAAAUUAUGCAAUUGUCCUUUGCAUUCAAAUCUGUUCCUCUUCCACCUGAUAUUUUGCUGAGGGGACAAGUGAAAUUCCAAAGCUCAGUUUGCUGAAGUGUGCAAAAUGCUAAUCAGCUUCCACAGCCCACAAAGUGGCAGAGAGGGCGUGCCUCUCUGGAGAAGAGAGGAGAGACUGGACUAGGAGCUGGGAGGAGUCUGGCUGACUCAGCGGCCCCAGACAAACGCACUUCCAUCCUUUCCCAUUUCCGUUGUGAACUCUUCUCCGUGGGCAAGAAGAGGACUCAGAACAACUGCUAUCUUUUUACAAAGAAGGAUGAUGUGCAAGGGGGUCAUUUACAAGAGGAUCAAGGGUUUGGCUAUGUUGGGAGAUGCUGAUUUUGAUAAAUGUUUCCAUAUCUCUACAAAUGUGCCUUUCUGAGUCUCCAGUUAGACUUGAAAAAGACUUUGGAGAUUGUCCCCUGCACAGUGGCUCUGAGCCUGGACACCUAGGAGAUGCUCAGUAAAUAUCUGUUAAAUAAAUGAAGGAAUGGAUAUAGUCCAAACUACUUGGUCAUGCAUCCAGUUUGUGGCAGAUUUGGGUCUCUAAGGCCCAGUACACUAAUCACUCAGCUGGGAGUUUUUAUUCUGUUCCAUCUUGCUGCUAGGACAACUGUAGCCACCCAGAAGGAUGUCUCAACGCUCUGGAAAGUUCUCUGGCUGAAUGUUGCUAUGAUACAAUCUUUUAACAAGCUGAUUGCUCAGUAGCAAGAGCAAGUGCUAUUUAUGUUGGGUAAAUAAGAAGAAAUGCUGCCCUACUGAUAUUUGUUAAGUGCCCCUUUAAUAUUUGUGAGGAGGCGAUCUUGACAAAAUUUUGAGAGUGUAUACACUGGCAAAUUUUACCUUUUAUGGACUGUAAUAUCCUAUUGCUACUUGAUUUAAAAAUCUUUCCCUCUCUUCACAUAUAUCCAUAUGAAAAAAAACAGCAGAGAGAGAUAUAUGUAUAUUAUAUGGGAGAUAUCUAUCUAUCAUCUAUCUAUCUCCCACUUAUGACCUGAAAGCCCCGUCUUUGAGAUGUUCUGCCUUUCCAGCCUAAAUCAAUGUAUACCUUACAUGUAUUGAUUUAUGUCUUUGCCUGUAACUUCUGUUUUCCUAAAAUGUAUAAAACUAAACUGUAAUUCAGUCACCUUGGGUACACUUUCUCAAGCUUUCUUGAGACUGUUUCCCAGGCCAUGGUCAGAAUAAACCUCCUUCAAUAUUUUACAGAGGUUUUUUUUUUUUUUUUUUUUUUUUUUUUUGGUUAUCAGCAUUCAUCCACCAAGGAGGUCACCAGAAGCUUUGGUGGACAGUUUUCAUCCAGGCCAAGGGAAUUCUAACUCAGGCAUCUUUGUCUCGCUGCCUGAGAGUGUUCUCUGGUGGAAACAUCAUGCUCAGCCCAUGUAUUGGGAUUGGGGAAGAGAUCUGAAGUGCCAGGGAGUUAACUCCUGGGAGAAAUCUUCAAACAAAGAAAGCAGGCAAUUGGUGGAUAAAUACCCCAGUUUCUUUACCCCUGAUGAAAACUUUCUGAGGUGUAUUCUAUAGAGGCUUUUGGGGGAUACCCAGGAAGCUUGAGCCCCAGUUGCCCACAGCUAUAGUCCAUUUAUUAAUGCACCUUUGUGUAGCUGAGGACUGGGCCACCUGCUUGUGUGGCUUAUUUAUGCCCUCUGACCCUGUCAGUGCCUGAUUAUGGAUGUGCUGCCUCCAUGUGGCAGUGGAUUGCUGCAGGGUUGCCUUGGCUUAUGACUUCUUGGGUGUGGUAGAACCCAGCUCAUGAUGGGAAUCCAGCUCAUAAUGGGAAUCCAGCUCACGAUGGGAACCCAGCUCAUAAUGGCUGCAUGAUCAUUUGAUGUCCAUGGUUAUAGGCUCCAUCUUUACUAGCAUGUGAGGGACUUUUUUUGCAUGGUGUGUUGUUCUUUGCUGUGAAUAGCCUGGAAUUGCCAUAGAAUAGGGGUUGCCAACCCCUGGGCCUUGGACCCGUACCAGUCUAUGGCCUGUUAGGAACUGGGUUGCCCAGCAGGAGGUGAGUGGCGGGCGAGUGAGCAUUACCACCUGAGCUCUGCCUCCUGUCAGAUCAGUGGCAGCAUUAGGCUCUCAUAGGAGCAUGAACCCUAUUGUGAACUGCACAUGUGAGGAUCUAAGUGGCACACUCCUUAUGAGAAUCUAAUGCCUGAUGAUCUGAGGUGGAACAGUCUCAUCUCGAAACCAUACCCACUCCUCCCCCAUUCCCUGUCCCUGUUCAUGGAAAAAUUGUAUUCCACAAAACUGGUCCCUGGUGCUAAAAAGGUUGGGGACCACUGCCAUAGAACACUAGAGUUUUCAUGCAGUAAUUUUUCUUAUUUGAUCUUCUCAUAAACGCUACACACAUUUUUUUUUCUCACUCCAAAUACCUCUAGAACUUUGUGUAUCAGGCCCUUGGCUGACAUUUUUUUUUUUUUGAGAUGGAGUCUUGCUCUGUAGCCAGGCUGGAGUGCAGCAGCAUGAUCUCAGCUCACUGCAAUCUCCACCUCCGGGGUUCAAGAGAUUCUCCUGCCUCAGCCUCCUGAGUAGCUGGGACUAUGGGUGCAUGCCACCACGCCCAGGUAAUUUUUGUAUUUUUAGUAGAGAUGGGGUUUCACCAUGUUGGCCAGGAUGGUCUCAAUCUCUUGACUUCGUGAUCUGCCUGCCUCUGCCUCCCAAAGUGCUGGGAUUACAGGUGUCAGCCACCAUGCCUGGCCCAUGGCUGACAUUUUAACCUUGUCACUCAUUACAGUAAUUGUGACAACUUUGCUUUUGAUACUUCAACAUUGCUACGUGGCUUUCAUUAUUUUGAAACCCAAUCAGUCCCUUUGCUAGUAGGGGGUCUGUAAUAGCAUUAGCUGUGACCCACAGAGGAUGACCACCACUGAACAUCCCAGUGAUGCUGGUACCCCACCUCAUGGACAUAUUUCUCAUUACUUUGGUAAAUGAGGCACCCACUGGGCCAUCCCAUGGACAUUACUGGCUGGUGGGUUUUCCAGCCUUAAGUGUUAUAUUAGUUAUCUAUGCUACAUAACAACUUACCGCAAAAUUAGCAGUUUAGAAUAACAUACAGUCAUUUUCUCACAGUGUCUGGAGGUCAGAAAUCUGGACAUGGCUUACCUGAAGUCCUUUGUUUGGGGUCUUAAAAGGCUACAGUCAAAGUGUUGGCCAGGCUGCACUCCUAACUGGAGCUCAGGAUCCUCUUUCAAACUCAUGUGCUAAUUGGCAGCAUUCAGUUCCUUGUGGUUGUAGGACUGAAGUCCUUGUUUUCUUGCUGAUGGUCAGCUGGGUGCUGCUCUCAAUUCCUAGAGGUGAUCUGCAGUUCCUUCCUGCAGGGCCUCUCACAACAUGGCAGCUCACUUCUUCAAGCCAGCAGGAGAAUCUCUCAUUCCAGGAUGCCAACCUAGAGUACUGUAUAAUGUAACAUAACCACAGAAUGACUAUCCCAUUACCUUUGCCAGACACUGUUGGCUAGAAGCAAGUCACAGGUUCUGUCUGCACUCAAGCGGAGGGAUUAUACAAGGGCAUGGCUCAUUGAGGGUCAUGUAACGGUGUGCCCACCACAAGUACUAUAGCAAUGCUACACACCUCCUUCUCUGAGCCUUUUGACUCCUUCCUCCACUGUCUGGAGGAAGUCCUGGCAUUUGUACCUCACUUAUGGUGAGACAUCAAUUUCUUCAAGCUUUCAGUAGCCAUCCAAGAUGCAUAUCAACACCAUCUCCUGUGGUUGUUGCCAGUGUUACAUCAUUUUCUCAUAUCAAUAAACUUUCUUAUUCAACUUUAUAUUCUGUCCCCUUGGUCCAGGCCCUCGGGAUCCAGUCCUAUACAGACUUUCCUGGCUUCUGUUGAUGCAUCUUGGUGAGGACUAGCAUCUUCUUUCGCCUACGGUUCCUUCAUAGCAGGCCUAGCACUUCCCUGGAUUUAUCAUGUUGUAACUCGACCCUAAUUAUUGUUCUGGUGGCCAGGAGAGGAGGUGGGGUGAGAUUCUCAGGGGAUCAUUUGUUGUCUUGCACUUGAGGACCUCUGCACUCAAACUGUUUUCAAGUGAAGCGGUAGGGGAUAGGCUGGAGUGCUGGCCUAUAACACGGAGGAAUGGGCUACUCCUUCAGGUCCAGGAGGUUCAGGAGGAUCCCGUGUUUCAAAAUUCCUCAGUGCAUUGACCCAGUUGUUUCCACCCAGGUAUCAGGGUUCCAUUCCUUCCCAAUCAGAGCUUUAAGGAUGUCAACCUUCUGUGGAGUUCCACGACCUGUUAAUUAAGCUUUUUCUGUCCUCUGGCUGUAGGAGAUGAGCAUCUCUUUGCUUGCUGCCAAGGAAACCCUCUGACUUUCCUUCCUUACCUUUUAAUAAUGAUAAAUCACCUCAACAUUUCAUUGUCUUUCUCUAAUGAAUUUAUAGCACCUAGCAGCAGCCAUCUGAUUUUAUUGUACUUCUAAUUACUACUUCAGUUGCCCUGCACCUCUUAAUGCUAUAUCUAUUCACCAGCCAGUGCAUUUCUUUCCGUAGGAAUCUCAUCCAGUUCAGAACAGGUGACAGUUUCAAUAAUUGCAAUGUCAACAUGCCAGAGCUCUCAGUACUCUGCCUACCACCAGUGAUGAGGUACUUAUUGCCAGCCAACUGAUGGGGGAUCCAGCUCCUAAAAUUCCAUUUUAGGGGACAGACAUUGGCAGGAUGGCAGAAUAGAAGAGCCCCUAGCAUCACCCUCCCACGAAAUACAACUAGAAACUAUUCAAAUAGAAGAAUACCACCCUGAUUUUACCAGGACUCAUGGAGAAAGCAGAGAAAUCCCUUGGGCCCACAGAAUUGAGAGAAGCCAUGACUAGUAAGAGACUUGGUCAUUUCAGAUUGUACCACUCCCUCCCCAAAACCAGCAUAAUGACACUCACAAAAAUUUUCCCUAGACACACAGUUUCCAAGGUGAGAGGAAGAAAUUAGAAGUGGACAUUUGAUUUCUUCCCUGGUCUGGGAAUCUUAUGGGAGACCCACUACAAUCUCAUCCCACUAGAAUAAUUGGGAGCACCAGGAGGGCUGAAUUACCUGGGGUGAAUUGGGACA
rnacentral:lncRNA from 1 species